GCUGGGUGUGGUGGCAUGCUCCUGUGGUCCCAGCUACUCAGGGGGCUGAGAUGGGAGGAUCACCUGAGCCCAGGGAGGUUGAGGCUGCAGUGAGCUCUAAUCAUCAUGCCACUGCACUCCAGCCUGGGCGACAAAGUGAGAACCCAUCUCUA
ensembl:misc_RNA Metazoa_SRP Metazoan signal recognition particle RNA